GCGACAGGCCUAACACAUGCAAGUCGAGGGGCAGCGGAGAGGUAGCAAUACCUUUGCCGGCGACCGGCGCACGGGUGAGUAACACGUAUGCAAUCCACCUGUAACAGGGGGAUAACCCGGAGAAAUCCGGACUAAUACCCCAUAAUAUGGGCGUUCCGCAUGGAGAGCUCAUUAAAGAGAGCAAUUUUGGUUACAGACGAGCAUGCGCUCCAUUAGCCAGUUGGCGGGGUAACGGCCCACCAAAGCGACGAUGGAUAGGGGUUCUGAGAGGAAGGUCCCCCACAUUGGAACUGAGACACGGUCCAAACUCCUACGGGAGGCAGCAGUGAGGAAUAUUGGUCAAUGGUCGGCAGACUGAACCAGCCAAGUCGCGUGAGGGAAGACGGCCCUACGGGUUGUAAACCUCUUUUGUCGGAGAGUAAAGUACGCUACGCGUAGUGUAUUGCAAGUAUCCGAAGAAAAAGCAUCGGCUAACUCCGUGCCAGCAGCCGCGGUAAUACGGAGGAUGCAAGCGUUAUCCGGAUUUAUUGGGUUUAAAGGGUGCGUAGGCGGCACUCUAAGUCAGCGGUGAAAUUUCCGGGCUCAACCCGGACUGUGCCGUUGAAACUGGCGAGCUAGAGUACACAAGAGGCAGGCGGAAUGCGUGGUGUAGCGGUGAAAUGCAUAGAUAUCACGCAGAACCCCGAUUGCGAAGGCAGCCUGCUAGGGUGAAACAGACGCUGAGGCACGAAAGCGUGGGUAUCGAACAGGAUUAGAUACCCUGGUAGUCCACGCAGUAAA
rnacentral:rRNA from 1 species